CCAAUAGCGUAUAUUAAAGUUGCUGCAGUUAAAAAGCUCGUAGUUGAAUUUCGGGAUCAAUAUGUUGGUCGUGCCUCGGUACGUACUAGCUUAUUGGUUUCUCCCUUCUGAUGAACCAUGAUGUCAUUUAUUUGGUGUUAUGAGGAAUCAGGACUGUUACUUUGAAAAAAUUAGAGUGUUUAAAGCAGGCUCACGCUUGAAUACAUUAGCAUGGAAUAAUGAAAUAGGACGUUUGAUUCUAUUUUGUUGGUUUCUAGGAUCGACGUAAUGAUUAAUAGGGAUAGUUGGGGGCAUUAGUAUUCAAUUGUCAGAGGUGAAAUUCUUGGAUUUAUUGAAGACUAACUACUGCGAAAGCAUUUGCCAAGGAUGUUUUCAUUAAUCAAGAACGAAAGUUAGGGGAUCGAAGACGAUCAGAUACCGUCGUAGUCUUAACCAUAAACUAUGCCGACUAGGGAUCGGAUGAUGUUAAUUUUUUAAUGACUCAUUCGGCGCCUUACG
rnacentral:misc_RNA from 1 species